rnacentral:rRNA from 1 species
ACUCAAAUGAAUUGACGGGGGCCCGCACAAGCGGUGGAGCAUGUGGUUUAAUUCGAAGCAACGCGAAGAACCUUACCAGGUCUUGACAUCCCGCUGACCGCCUUGGAGACAAGGCUUUCCCUUCGGGGACAGCGGUGACAGGUGGUGCAUGGUUGUCGUCAGCUCGUGUCGUGAGAUGUUGGGUUAAGUCCCGCAACGAGCGCAACCCUUGAUCUUAGUUGCCAGCAUUCAGUUGGGCACUCUAAGGUGACUGCCGGUGACAAACCGGAGGAAGGUGGGGAUGACGUCAAAUCAUCAUGCCCCUUAUGACCUGGGCUACACACGUGCUACAAUGGACGGUACAAAGGGUUGCCAACCCGCGAGGGGGAGCCAAUCCCAGAAAACCGUUCUCAGUUCGGAUUGCAGGCUGCAACUCGCCUGCAUGAAGCCGGAAUCGCUAGUAAUCGUGGAUCAGCAUGCCACGGUGAAUACGUUCCCGGGCCUUGCACACACCGCCCGU